rnacentral:lncRNA from 1 species
GUACAGUAUGUGGGAAUAUAACAUUACAGACUGUAGAGUAGUGAAUAUAACAUUACAGACUGUAGAGUAAGUGUAGGGAAUAUAACAUUACAGACUGUAGAGUAGGGAAUAUAACAUUACAGACUGUAGAGUAGUGAAUAUAACAUUACAGACUGUAGAAUACAGUAUGUAGUGAAUAUAACAUUACAGACUGCAGAGUACAGUAUGUAGUGAAUAUAACAUUACAGACUGCAGAGUACAGUAUGUAGGGAAUAUAACAUUACAGACUGUAGAGUAGUUACUGUAGAGUACAGUAUGCAGGGAAUAUAACAUUACAGACUGUAGAGUAGUGAAUAUAACAUUACAGACUGUAGAGUAGUGAAUAUAACAUUACAGACUGUAGAGUAGUGAAUAUAACAUUACAGACUGUAGAGUA